GGUGGUGGGGGGAGUAGCCGGGCUACGCCCGGGUAAUACCGCAUACGGUUGCCGAGGGGAGUCCCUUGGCAAAGAAACCUCCGGGGCACAGAGAGGGGCUCGCGGCCUAUCAGCUAGUUGGUGAGGUAAUGGCUCACCAAGGCGACGACGGGUAGCUGGUCUGAGAGGAUGGCCAGCCACACUGGGACUGAGACACGGCCCAG
rnacentral:rRNA from 1 species